ensembl:snoRNA
AUCCUUCUGUUGUUCAUAAAUGUGAUGACUGCAUUUUCAUGCCCACCUAUGAGAUAUGCCUCCCUUACGCAUUGUUACAAUUCCAGCACGUUACCCCUCUGAUA